UUUUAUUGCGGAGGGGCCACUGAAACUUGGAGCAAAGUGGAGGAAAUUGGCAUUCAUUUAGGUGUCCAUUAGCAUUUCAUUUGUGAUUCGGAUGGUGUGGCUUAGGUGGAUAGGAGAUGAAGGGCGAGCCUUCCAUUUGCUCACCUUCUCCCGAGCUGGGGCUGCCUCGGAGCCAGGCCCUUCUCGAUUGCCUGGAUUUGGUUGGAGGGAGCGAGAAGUCAGGAGGAGUUUCUCCGCCCGCCUUGGCCUCUGCUUCGCCCAGCGCUGAGGCACAGACAGGCAGAUGUGCUGUGUGGGGCUCGGCCACGGGCGGCUCCUUCGCUCUCUGCCGCGGGCUGGCUCUCGGAGGGAAAGUUGAGUCCCCUGUUGGUGCUCUGCUCCCGUGCCACUUAAUGGUCCCCGGACCUCCUUGCAUUCUAGACCCUCGUGAGAAAGGAGAUGCAGUGGUUAAGGGGCGAUGGAGUCCACAGCCGCGUUCAGCAGAUGAGCCCUAACACAUUUCCAGUCCCCUUAAAUCUACUAAUUGAUGGGUGCUGCAGGGAACAUAGACUCUGCUAAUAAGAUGAAGAUGACAGACACUGAGUAUCUUCAGGAAAAUGGGAUCCAUCAGAAGUGACACCCUCCUCGACAGAAAGAUUCUCAGACUGAUGGAGUAAGUGACGAAGUGGGUUACCAGCUGUAGCUACUCCACUCAGCGCAGAAUGACUGCAGGGAAUAUAUUCAGACAUGCCCAGAGAAGUCUGCCCAGGGUGAAACAAAUACCUUUGAGGUUUAAAUAAGGUGUGUGGAGGAUGCUGGAAACUUGACUCUGUGGUGGUUUUUCUUUAUUUUUUAUUUUUGCAUUUAUGUUUGUCAAGGAAGGUGGGAAAAUGGGUGACUUCUGCCUGUUCUUCCAGGACUUUUAAUGCGAUUAAACAGCCCCCACCCCCCGCCAGACUCAGGAGAUUGAGGCAGGAGGAUAGCAAAUUUGAGGCCAGCCUGGGUAAUUUAGCCAGAACCUGUCUCAAAAUUAAAAAAAUAAAUAAAUAAAUAAAGGAGGGGGAAUGGUUGGAAAUGUAGCUUAGGGUAGAGAGAGUGCCCUGCGUUCAAUCCCCAGCACCCACUCCCCCACCAAAAAAAACUCACACUCCCAAGUCUAACCCACCCUCUCUCCUAGGAUUGGAUAUACUCUAAUCAAGUCCCUCCAAGUACCUCUAUCUUACCAAGUUUUAAUUUUAAAAUCAUGAUCGUGGUUUUCAUGUUGGAAAAGGAUUUCGAUUUUGGAGAUGCUUUAAGGUUGGGAUUUGAACUUUGAUAGGUUUUACCAUUUGUUGAUUUCCUUAGAAAAAAAAUAAAUACUAGUUGUAAUGUAUGAGUUAGCUGCAAGAGACCUAAGGAAAUUGCAUUCAAAUCAUGUUUUAAAAAUAGAUUUUCACAUUAUCUUUAAACAGUGGUUAAGUGGCUCAGAAAAAUCAAGCAACAUUAACGUCUUCAGAAAUUACAAACCACAUUUCCUUACAGGAUGAAGUUGUGCUUAGUAGCCUAUGCUUAAUUCGUUCAUUGAGAAACUACACAAUUUUUGUUGCUAUAUUUUAUUAGAAAGGAAGGAGAGACUGUUUCUACAGGUGUCAUAGAAAAAUCAAUACUGAGCCACGGAUUAUUGGAUCCCAUAGAACCAUGGAGACUUGGCAGUGAAAUUCUUCCAAAGCUUCUUCUAGGUUUUUCAGAGCUGAAAAACUCUACCUUGUGUCUGAUGGUCUGACUGCAUGACUUAGCAUUCCAUCCAUGUAGGCAGAUGGUGUUCCUAGGUUGGAAAGUGUAAAUCCCAUGGGAAGUCAGCUGAGGAACAUUUUCUGCAUCUCUCGUCCGACAUUACGAGACCUCUGCAAGUCCAUCUCUCUAAAGCGGAAAAUUCUUAUUCUUUUUUCCUUAACCUGGACUUUCGGACUGGCUGAGAAAACAAAACUUGUUUACAAUUUGUACUCUGGAUACCAAGUUAAUACCCUGACUCUGACCCAAAGAAAGGGUUCUAUAAACAAAUACUGUGUGCUGUGAAGAUGCUACUACUUUAUUAAUAAAAUAAUUGGAAGGUGCAAGAUUUGGGAUUUCCCAUCUGAUGAGCCUAGAAAACUGUAACUCAGUAUAUCAUGCAAUGUACUUAAAGUUUAAAUUAUAUACAUCAUAAUUCUUAUGAGGGUAAAAGCAUGCUUUCCACUCUUUGCAAGGUCUCACUUCUGAUGUGUGAAUUCUUAAAUGUGAACAAACCAAAGACAAUAGCAUACAUUCAAGUUUUCUAAAGUAAAACGGGAGAUAAAGAUUUUUGUGGUAAGUGGCAGCUUUGUGUUUACUGUUGUGAGAAUAUAAUGUCUGCAUGAAAAGAAAAAAGUACAAAAGCCAACAAAUGGGCAAGUUGCUAGAGGGACUGACUGUUAGUGAGGUGCCUGUGGAUACACUUUGUUGAUGCUCAGAAUACAGCCCUCUUGGGUACAUAUACUAUAAUCCAUCAAAAUGGAGGUAGUGUUUUCGACAUUGCUACCCUGUAUAUUUAAACUAAAAUACGUAUUAUCCAUGUCUGAGCAAACAUGAUGUAGCUCUUCUGAUUUUAGGUUAAGUAGAUCUUAUGAUUUUCCUAAAACAUUGCAAAGAUGAGUAUCUACGAGAUAAUUUGUGAUGUGUAAACUAUGACUUUCUGAGGGGAAAAUGGCAACUAAUCCAGGCAUAAUUAUCUUGCGUGUGAGAAUUGUCUGUGGUGCCAACUUUGUGUCAUGCACAGUGUCUGACUCAUUAGCGUUUUCUUUGCUUGCUUCUGCGUGUGAUCCUCUGGUUCUUUCUAGAUCCAUCUCUCUUCCGUUUCCCCUUGGCUUCUCUAUUGUGUUCCAGUUGGCAGUUAAAGAACAGCAGCAGCAAUAAGACCACCUGGCUACCUUUUCCCAGCACCACUGACUGGGAGUUAAGCUGACUAACAUUUUGAAAGCCCAGCCCAUUUCGUUCUCAGCAGGACAGCAGUUCAACUUCUACAACAAGCAUUCUCUGAGAGUGAUGACAGCAGAUGAAAAUAUUAAAGAAAUCGUCUUCAUAAAGCCUGAGCGGGGGCUGAUUAAGUUCAGGAAAAGUCAGACCUUCCAUUUUCAUUGUUGUCAUCCAGUAGGUGAUUUUGGAGUUAACACAGGGAAGAAAUUGUACCCUUAUUGCACAUUCACAUUUUAUCUCAGGACUGAGAAAUGUUAAAUGUUGUUCAGCUGUUCAAGGUCUUUAGGCUAAAUAAACCAAGUGUGGGGACUUUGGACCUUCUGUUACAGAAAUGUCCUCAUGUGGAAAAGGGAUGGGCAGACACAACUUUAUAAGUCAGAAUAUUGCUUCCCAGGGUUGACUUAAGUCUACCCAGCCAUGAAGCUGGAUUCUCCAGUGGGUGACUGAUGGCACACGCCAGCUGGUUAAUAUCAUAAUUAACCAAGUUGUUUCCAUAUUGGUAAAGUUUAAUCGGAAAAUUUACCAGUGAUAUGAUGGUAUUGUCACAAAGAUCACACGGAGUCGACUUUUGCUCAAGGCAGAACGGCAGAGCGGUGUGAGCAAGAUGAGGAACUGCAAACUUGGAAAGCAUAAGAUUAUAUCCACCUACUAUCCCAAAGAUGAAGAUAAAUAAACCAUCCUGCAAGUUUAAUCACAUCUACUGGUUAAUUUCAUCUUCUCACAGAAAGGAAAUAAUAUGCUCUGGAGAAUCCUGUAAUUCAAAGAAAAUGGACUGGGAUAACAUUUGGGUUCUCAUACUACCAAAAUCCUCGUGAGAAGGACAGCCAGGAGGCUAAUAAUGAAGGGGCCAGGGAAGGAGGCCAAUGCUACAAGGGUUAUCUCACAACCUCAGAUGCUGGGUAAGUCGAAGGAGGCAGAAUCACUUCUGGAUGACAUUCAGAAAGGCCGGAGCGAUUAUUUGGAAGAGAAAAGCCUGCCUAUUCUUUCCGAGAUGCGUGAAUAUCCCCUGACCUGCCCGUCCACUGGUCCAGUGAUGAAUUAUUAGAAACCUGCUUAGACAAAGGCUGCGCUUGGAGCCCCACCACACCCAAAACCAGGCUUUGAAGGAUCUGCCAAGCUCACUUUUAAUCAUGAGAAAGAAAUUACCCACAUGGAGACAGCAGAAAAUGAGAAAGUAGAACUCGUGCUGCGAAUAAUUCCAGCGAGUGCCAAGGGGCUAGUUGAGGAAUGACUUCAUGAGAUAUUAGUCUAAGACAACACCUUUGGAUCUAAGCAGCACCUUGAGAAAGAAAAGACUUCUUCGAGAAUGUCUUGUUCCACCUCCUUUCCAUAUGGGCCUUAAAUGCCCAGUUUGGAUAAAUGGUUUAAUUUUUUUUUCUACUUGAAUUAUUUAAUAUAUUCUGCUCAACUGUAUUUAUUUUGACUGCUUUCUGUAUGUUUAUGUUUGCUGGAACUGUUUUAAUAUGGAAUAUUGACCUAUACUUACUUUUACUGGCUUUCUGUAUUUUUCAAUGAGAAUUCUAAUAAAAAUUAUUUGUGUUC